UAGGCAACACUUAAAACAAUUAUUCAUAGCAAAGUUAUGUAAAGUUUCCUUUAUAUUUCCUUCUUAUGAUUACUGAUUUCAUUUCUCGGUUUUUUUAGGAUGUUUGUGGUCGUGACGUGUUUUCAACAAUGGCAUUUCCAGAUAAUUGGGAUAAUCAGACAUUUGUGAUUUUCACAGUUUCUUCAGAUUUUUCCAUGCAUCACCAUAUACUCGUAUCUGCUGAGACCUGCUGAAAAGUAGGACUACCAAAGAUAUUUUUGGGAAGUACCAAAUCUUCAGAGAUCGUUGGGUAUCCAUGGAGUUAAUAGCAUUCUACAUGUAUUGCGUAUUGAGACUGAAGAAAUACGAAGCCAGAUGAAAUAUUGCAAGACGAGUGUGAUGGGUCCUAAAGACACAGACUUAUCACUUUUUUCAAACUUUUUUCUUUUUUCUUCGGAUUCUCCCAGAUCCCGUAGAAUACCUGGUGACGUGUUAAGUACCUACUCUGUCGAUGUCCAGGGAGUUGGGUAAUUUACCAUGCCCAUGUGCAGCUUGAUGAAGCAAUCUAGAAACUGGAAUAUGCUUGUCAAAAAUGAAAUACUGCAGUAUGGUCUAAAGACUCUGGUCUGUCCAUUCAUAUUUUGAUCACAAUGUAACAGCUGUAAAAGUAUAUUGUCCUAGCUCAUUAAACAAUCUGGAAGUGGCAACGUUCUGUUACAAAUUAAGUUCAUAAUUUUAUUAACCCUAAUAGCUGCCCGAUUUGAUUGGUUCAAUGAAUGGUAUCUAUAUUACAAUACAUAUUCCUAACACUUGGCUAACCUCCCAUAUGUUGAUGGAACAGCAGCAGUAGAUUGUCUUGACCAAACCAAACCAAAUCUCAAAAUUGAUAGAGCUACCAGCAUUCUUCUUAAAAGUAUUUUUUUGAUGCUUCUGGCUGUUGCUUCCCUCCUACUCCUCCUAAUUUUUAACAGGAUUCACACACAGCAAAAAAUUUCCCGAUAUACCAAAAGAUUUGUUCUGUAUAUUAUAUAUAUAGUCUGUAAAACGAAUAACUUUGAAUUUGACAGUUCCCGCGGGCUUUUCUAGUGUAAAUUUUAUUAGGUU